CAUUACAUAUGUGGUUUACGAUCUCGUAAUCUUUCAGUUCCCACUCCUUGUAUCUGCCAGUCUUCCGUGUGUGCUGAUGGGUGAUAGCCAAGGUUUAGUCAAUUACUGUGUUUGGCUCACAGAACUCAUUCUCUCAUGUUAUUGACAAUACCUGUCUUGGAGGAGACCAGUGCUGUGUCAGCACAACUGAAAAGCUCCAUCUCAGCUCAGGAGCUGUGACACUCAUCUUCCUGAUUCCCUUUUUAGAAACAGCUAAAGGUUGCAGGUCCCAGAUGAAUGCUAGAGUGUGAGCAGGUUACUCUGAAUACUCUGAAUACAUUGAAGUCUCUAUCAGAGCAGCUGAAAAGUGCAUUCCAUCUUGAAGCGUCUUCUUGGAGACAACUCCUUGCUUGUUGCAUUUAAAAAAUGCAAGAAACAAGGGACCUCUUAGUAGAGCAUUUCAACUGACUGUAUCUGUCCUAGAGGUUCUCAGGCACCAUGAAGCACCUUGAAGUGUGCCGUUGCAAUGUAGCUCAGAGAUUAAAUGACAGUGCUACCUUGGCAUCUAGUGGCUUAUUUUCCUGCCAGUUUGAUGAAAUGAAUCUGUUCACAGUGGGUCUAAAGGAUAUCAUGACCAAUGAGUAUCCUGAGAAAGAGGAACAGAGCUUCAUCUCGCUUCUGGUGACAAAGAAUUAUCAGGAAGAAUAAAGAUGAUAAAACAUGAUCUUACCCUGCACUCUGCAGUCUAUGGGACAUAAAUAUGUAUUGAAAUAUACAAAUAAAUGGAGUCUGGGCACAGAA